rnacentral:rRNA from 1 species
UCAAGCGAAUUAUAGGCUAAUGGUGGAUGCCUAUGGAGCUGAGAGACGAUGAAGGACGUGAUAAGCUGCGAUAAGCCACGGUAAGGAGCACAUAUCCGCUAUACCCGUGGAUUUCCGAAUGGGGUAACCCGGCUGGAGUGAUCCAGUCACUGCAUCUGCUGAAUAAAAUAGGCAGUCAGGGCGAUACUGAGUGAAGUGAACCAUCUAAGUAACUCGGGAACAGACAUCAAUUGAGAUUCCGCAAGUAGCGGCGAGCGAACGCGGAGUAGGCCGUUUACGGUGUUCCGUUUUGUAGGAGAACCACCUGGGAAGGUGGGCCAUAGUGUGUGACAGCCACGUAUCCGAAACAUUGCGGUUCUUAAUAGCGUAGACUUUACGAGUACGGCGGGGCACGUGAAACCCUGUCGGAACAUGGGUCGACCACGAUCCAAGCCUAAAUACUACUCAGCUACCGAUAGCGAACAAGUACCGUGAGGGAAAGGUGAAAAGAACCCUUGUAAAGGGAGUGAAAUAGAACCUGAAACCAUUAGCUGGCAAGAUGUCAUAGCCCGCAAGGGUGGUGGCGUGCCUUUUGUAGAAUGAGCCUGCGAGUUAUGUCAUGCAGCAAGGUUAAGCGAUCGUAGUCGCGGAGCCGAAGGGAAACCGAGUCUGAAUAGGGCGAUUUAAGUUGCAUGCCAUAGACCCGAAGCCAAGGUGAUCUAUCCAUGAGCAGGUUGAAGCAAGGGUAAAACCUUGUGGAGGACCGAACAGUAAUCUGUUAAAAAAGGUAGUGAUGACUUGUGGAUCGGAGCGAAAGACUAAACAAACCUGGAAAUAGCUGGCUCUCCCCGAAAUGCCUUUAGGGACAGCCUCAUAGAAAGAUAACGGGGGUAAAGCACUGGAUGAGUGCGGGGGGGUCAAACCCUACCAAACUCAAUCAAACUCUGAAUACCGUUACCCAGCCUAUGGGAGUGAGACUGCGUGCGACAAGGUUCGUAGUCAAGAGGGAAACAGCCCAGACCAUCAACUAAGGUCCCAGAAUCAUGCUAAGUGUGAAAUGAAGUGCGGAUGCACAGACAGCCAGGAGGUUGGCUCAGAAGCAGCCAUUCCUUAAAAGAGUGCGUAACAGCUCACUGGUCGAGCAUCCGUGCGCAGACAAUGAAACGGGGCUAAGCAUGAUACCGAAGUUAUGGAUUCACACUUCCGUGUGACUGGUAGGGGAGCAUUCCAAUAACCGAUGAAGGAAGACCCGCGAGGGCUUCUGGAGGACUUGGAAGAGAGAAUGCAGGUAUAAGUAACGAAAAGACGGGUGCGAUCCCCGUCCGCCGAAAACCAAAGGUUUCCAGGGUAAAGGCAAUCUGCCCUGGGUAAGUCGGCCCCUAAGGCCAGGCCGUAAGGCGUAGUCGAUGGGAAAUUGGUUUAUAUUCCAAUACCUCUUAUAGUUUCGAGGGCAUGACGCAUUAGGUGAACUCCGGCAGGGUGACGGUUAUCCCUGUCUAAGCAGCGAGUUGUUGAGGAGCGGCGAAAACGUUCCGAGAUGAGCUGUAGGCCAAGCGAGGAAGAUAGUCCUUGUAAGCGGAUGUAAUCAAGGUGCCAAGAAAUAAUGCAUAAGGUUAGGCUAUAAGAGACCGUACCGGAAACCGACACAGGUUGGUAGGAUGAGUAAUCUAAGGCGCUCGAGCGACAUUGCGUUAAGGAACUCGGCAAAAUGCACACGUAACUUCGGAAGAUGUGUGGCUCUGUUAGUGAUAAUAAGAGCGGCAGAAAGCAGGCCCAGGCGACUGUUUACCAAAAACACAGCCAUCUGCGAAUCAUUAAUGAGACGUAUAGGUGGUGACGCCUGCCCGGUGCUGGAAGGUUAAGAGGAGCGGUGUUAAAGCUGUGAAUCGAAGCCCCAGUAAACGGCGGCCGUAACUAUAACGGUCCUAAGGUAGCGAAAUUCCUUGGCGGGGAAG